UGUGAUGCCCUUAGAUGUUCUGGGCCGCACGCGCGCUACAAUGAUACACACAACGAGUUGUUUUUCACCUUGUCCGAAAGGUCCUGGGUAAUCUUGUAAAUGUGUAUCGUGUUAGGGAUAGAUUUUUGCAAUUCUGAAUCUUGAACGAGGAAUUCCUAGUAAAUGCAAGUCAUCAGCUUGUGUUGAUUACGUCCCUGCCCUUUGUACACACCGCCCGUCGCACCUACCGAUUGAAUGAUUCGGUGAAAAUUUCGGACUGUGAUAUUUAUACUUUCGGGUAUUUUUAUCGUAGAAAGUUAUUUAAACCUCAUCAUUUAGAGGAAGGGAAGUCGUAACAG
rnacentral:rRNA from 1 species